rnacentral:lncRNA from 1 species
GAAGGGCGUUGGGUGGAGAUGGCCGACAACUCUAUCUACUCAACAUUAGAGCUGCCUGCUGCACCUCGAGUCCAAGAUGACUCCAGAUGGAAGGUCAAAGAACCUGUUCCAGGAGUAUGUGGGCGAGGACUUUUACUGGAUUGGCUUGAGGGACAUCGAUGGCUGGAGGUGGGAAGAUGGCCCAGCUCUCAGCUUAAGCAUUCUCUCUAACAGCGUGGUACAGAAGUGUGGCACCAUCCACAGGUGUGGCCUCCACGCCUCCAGUUGUGAGGUUGCUUUGCAGUGGAUCUGUGAGAAGGUCCUGCCCUGAAGGAUUCCACUGUGUCCCAAGCCUCAGAUCUGCCACAUGUCUUCAAAAAGAGGGAAUGGGCAUGGGGAACCUCUGUUCACAAAGGUGUCUUUAGCAAAUGCCAAACCUGUUAUGAUAUGCCAUUAGACAGGCGUUAGCAUUCCUUCCUGGGAGCUGGCAUUUUUCAACUGGGCUUUCUCAGUCAUGUUAGCCAUUUAAAGCCUAAAUCUGGGCAAAUGAAAUAGAUAAAAUUUAU